rnacentral:rRNA from 1 species
CCUACGGGAGGCUGCAGUCGAGAAUCUUUCACAAUGGGGGCAACCCUGAUGGAGCGACGCCGCGUGGAGGAUAAGGUCUUCGGAUUGUAAACUCCUGUCAUGUGUGAACAAGGCAGCCAGGUUAAUACCUUGAGCUGAUUGAUGGUAACACAAGAGGAAGAGACGGCUAACUCUGUGCCAGCAGCCGCGGUAAUACAGAGGUCUCAAGCGUUGUUCGGAAUCACUGGGCGUAAAGGGUGCGUAGGUGGCGUGGUAAGUCAGAUGUGAAAGCCCGG